rnacentral:rRNA from 1 species
UGAAUACGAGACGCUAAGGCGUCGAAGUAGUGUAUGUCAUACUUCCAAGAAAAGCUUGCACUGUCAUAGAUAAAAAACGCCUGUACCAUAACCGACACAGGUGGGUAGGUAGAGUAUACUAAGGGGCGCGAGAUAACUCUCUCUAAGGAACUCGGCAAAAUAACUCCGUAACUUCGGGAGAAGGAGUGCCUUAUUCGUAAGGUUGCAAUAACAAGAUCCAAGCAACUGUUUAUCAAAAACACAGGUCUCCGCUAAGUCGUAGGACGAUGUAUGGGGGCUGACGCCUGCCCAGUGCCAGAAGGUUAAAGAAGUUGGUUAGCAAUUGCGAAGCUGAUAACUGAAGCCCUGGUGAACGGCGGCCGUAACAAUAACGGUCCUAAGGUAGCGAAAUUCCUUGUCGGGUAAGUUCCGACCCGCACGAAAGGCGUAAUGAUUUGGAUACUGUCUCGGAGAGGGGCUCGGUGAAAUAGACUUGUCUGUGAAGAUGCGGACUACCUGCACCAGGACAGAAAGGCCCUAUGAAGCUUUACUGUAACUUGAAAUUGAAAUUGGACUUUAUUCGCGCAGUAUAGGUGGGAGGCGUUGAUUAUAAUCUUGUGGGAUUAUUGGAGCCAUCAGUGAGAUACCACUCUUGUAAUGUUAGAUUUCUAACUUUGAAUCAUUAUCUGGUCAAAGGACAGUUUCAGGCGGGCAGUUUGACUGGGGCGGUCGCCUCCUAAACGGUAACGGAGGCGUACAAAGGUUUCCUCUGAACGGUUAGAAAUCGUAUCUAGAGUGUAAAGGCAUAAGGAAGCUUGACUGUGAGACCUACAAGUCGAGCAGGGACGAAAGUCGGUCUUAGUGAUCUGACGGUACUGAGUGGAAAGGCCGUCACUCAACGGAUAAAAGUUACUCUAAGGAUAACAGGCUGAUCUCCCCCAAGAGUUCACAUCGACGGGGAGGUUUGGCACCUCGAUGUCGGCUCAUCGCAUCCUGGGGCGGUAGUACGUCCCAAGGGUUGGGCUGUUCGCCCAUGAAAGCGGUACGCGAGCUGGGUUCAGAACGUCGUGAGACAGUUCGGUCCAUAUCCGGUGUAGGCGUUAGAAUAUUGAGGGGAGCCUUCUUUAGUACGAGAGGACCGAGAAGGACAUACCUCUGGUGUACCAGUUAUCGUGCCAACGGUAAACGCUGGGUAGCUAUGUAUGGAGUGGAUAACCGCUGAAAGCAUCUAAGUGGGAAGCCCACCUCAAGAUAAGUAUUCUCAC